rnacentral:rRNA from 1 species
AUGGCGUCGGGGUUCACCAAGUUUGAUGUGGAGAAAUUCGAUGGCACGGGUAACUUCGGUCUAUGGCAGACAAGAGUCAAGGAUAUUCUGGCGCAGCAGGUAAUCUUGAAGGGUUUGCAGGAGACGAAGCCGACCAAGGUUGACAAUGAUGCGUGGGAGGAUAUGCAAGUGCAGGCGGCCGCUACCAUACGGCUUUGUCUUGCGGAUUAG